rnacentral:rRNA from 1 species
CCCUUAGAUGUUCUGGGAUGCACGCGCGUUACACUGAUUCGUUCAACGAGUUUAUGACCUUGCCUGAUGAGGUGGGGGAAUCUUUUCAAAUCGCAUCGUGAUGGGGAUAGAGUAUUCUUUUCAAAUCGCAUCGUGAUGGGGAUAGAGUAUUGUAACUGUUAGUCUUCAACGAGGAAUUCCUAGUAAGUACGUGUCAUCAGCUCGUACUGAUUACGUCCCUGCCCUUUGUACACACCGCCCGUCGCUCCUACCGAUUGAGUGCUCAGGUGAAUAGUAUGGACUGCAUCAGUGUUCGGUCUCCGAAUGUUGACGCGAGAAAUUCUGUGAAUCUUAUUGCUUAGAGGAAGGAGAAGUCGUAACA